rnacentral:rRNA from 1 species
UACAGAGGUCUCAAGCGUUGUUCGGAUUCAUUGGGCGUAAAGGGCUCGUAGGCGGCCAACUAAGUCAGACGUGAAAUCCCUCAGCUUAACUGGGGAACUGCGUCUGAUACUGGAUGGCUUGGAUUCGGGAGAGGAAUGCGGAAUUCCAGGUGUAGCGGUGAAAUGCGUAGAUAUCUGGAGGAACACCGGUGGCGAAGGCGGCCCCCUGGACCGGUACUGACGCUGAGGCGCGAAAGCGUGGGUAGCAAACGGG